GUGCCAGCCGCCGCGGUAAUACGUAGGGUGCGAGCGUUGUCCGGAAUUACUGGGCGUAAAGAGCUCGUAGGUGGUUUGUCGCGUCGUCUGUGAAAUUCCGGGGCUUAACUCCGGGCGUGCAGGCGAUACGGGCAUAACUUGAGUGCUGUAGGGGAGACUGGAAUUCCUGGUGUAGCGGUGAAAUGCGCAGAUAUCAGGAGGAACACCGAUGGCGAAGGCAGGUCUCUGGGCAGUAACUGACGCUGAGGAGCGAAAGCAUGGGUAGCGAACAGGAUUAGAUACCCUGGUAGUCCAUGCCGUAAACGGUGGGCGCUAGGUGUGGGGGUCUUCCACGACUUCUGUGCCGUAGCUAACGCAUUAAGCGCCCCGCCUGGGGAGUACGGCCGCAAGGCUAAAACUCAAAGGAAUUGACGGGGGCCCGCACAAGCGGCGGAGCAUGUGGAUUAAUUCGAUGCAACGCGAAGACCUUACCUGGGCUUGACAUACGCCGGAUCGCCGCAGAGAUGUGGUUUCCCUUGUGGCCGGUGUACG
rnacentral:rRNA from 1 species